GACGAACGCUGGCGGCGUGCUUAACACAUGCAAGUCGAACGAAGUGGCGAACGGGUGAGUAACGCGUAAUCAACCUGCCCUUCCGAGGGGGACAACAGUUGGAAACGACUGCUAAUACCGCAUACUGCAGGAGGGGAUUGCGGCUGAUUAGCUCGUGGGAGGGGUAACGGCCCACCAAGGCUAGUAGCAGUAUCCGGGCUGAGAGGAUGAACGGCCACAUUGGGACUGGGACACGGCCCAGACUCCGUGUGGGUGCAGCAGUGGGGUUUCCUCCGCAAUGGACGAAAGUCUUACUUAGCAACGCCGCUUGAGUUAUGACGGCUUUCUGUUUGUAAAGCUCUGUUAAUCGUGCCGCGGUACCGGAAUAGAAAGCCACGGCUAACUACGUGCCAGCAGCCGCGGUAAUUC
rnacentral:rRNA from 1 species